rnacentral:hammerhead_ribozyme from 29 species
AAGGAGUCUUUCGAUAUUAUUGAAACUGAUGAGUCCAUAAUGACGAAACUCUAA